rnacentral:rRNA from 1 species
CCUACGGGAGGCAGCAGUGAGGAAUAUUGGUCAAUGGGCGCGAGCCUGAACCAGCCAAGUCGCGUGAGGGAAGACGGUCCUAUGGAUUGUAAACCUCUUUUGUCGGGGAGCAAAAGACGCCACGCGUGGCGUUCCGAGAGUACCCGAAGAAAAAGCAUCGGCUAACUCCGUGCCAGCAGCCGCGGUAAUACGGGGGAUGCGAGCGUUAUCCGGAUUUGUUGGGGUUAAAGGGUGCGCAGGCGGAAGAGCAAGUCAGAGGUAAAACUGAGAGGCUCAACCUCUUCGAGCCGUUGAAACUGGUUUUCUUGAGUGAGUGAGAAGUAUGCGGAAUGCGUGGUGUAGCGGUGAAAUGCAUAGAUAUCACGCAGAACUCCGAUUGCGAAGGCAGCAUACCGGCGCUCAACUGACGCUCAUGCACGAAAGUGUGGGUAUCGAACAGGAUUAGAUACCCUAGUAGUC